GACGAACGCUGGCGGCGUGCUUAACACAUGCAAGUCGAACGGCAAGGCCCUGCUUUUGUGCGGUGCUCGAGUGGCGAACGGGUGCGUAACACGUGAGUAACCUGACCUUGACUUUGGGAUAACUUCAGGAAACUGGGGCUAAUACCGGAUAGGAUAUCCUGUUGCAUGGUGGGGGUUGGAAAGUUUCGGCGGUUGGGGCUGGACGGGCGGCUUAUCAGCUUGUUGGUGGGGUAGUGGAUUACCAACGCUUUGACGGGUAGCCGGCCUGGGAGGGUGACCGGCGACAUUGGUACUGAGAUACGGACCAGACUCCUACGGUAGGCAGCAGUGGGGAGUAUUGCACAGUGGGCGGACGCCUGUUGCAGCGGCGCCGGGUGCGGGAUGACGGCCUUCGGGUUGUGAACCGCUUUCGCCUGUGACGAAGCGGGAGUGACGGUAAUGAGUGAAUAAGCACCGGCUAACUACGUG
rnacentral:rRNA from 1 species